GACGGGGGGGGCAAGUGUUCUUCGGAAUGACUGGGCGUAAAGGGCGCGUAGGCGGUUCGUACAGUCAGGCGUGAAAUUCCCGGGCUUAACCUGGGGGCUGCGUUUGAUACGUGCGGGCUUGAGUUCGGAAGAGGGUCGUGGAAUUCCCAGUGUAGAGGUGAAAUUCGUAGAUAUUGGGAAGAACACCGGUGGCGAAGGCGGCUCACUGGCUCAUUUCUGACGCUCAGGCGCGACAGCGUGGGGAUCAAACAGG
rnacentral:rRNA from 1 species